UACAGGGGGUGCAAACGUUGCUCGGAAUUACUGGGCGUAAAGCGCACGUAGGCGGCUUUGUAAGUUAGAGGUGAAAGCCCAGGGCUCAACCCUGGAAUUGCCUUUAAGACUGCAUCGCUUGAACAUCGGAGAGGUAAGUGGAAUUCCGAGUGUAGAGGUGAAAUUCGUAGAUAUUCGGAAGAACACCAGUGGCGAAGGCGACUUACUGGACGAUUGUUGACGCUGAGGUGCGAAAGCGUGGGGAGGCAAACAGG
rnacentral:rRNA from 1 species